UUAAGCGACUAAGCGUACACGGUGGAUGCCCUGGCAGUCAGAGGCGAUGAAGGACGUGCUAAUCUGCGAUAAGCGUCGGUAAGGUGAUAUGAACCGUUAUAACCGGCGAUUUCCGAAUGGGGAAACCCAGUGUGUUUCGACACACUAUCAUUAACUGAAUCCAUAGGUUAAUGAGGCGAACCGGGGGAACUGAAACAUCUAAGUACCCCGAGGAAAAGAAAUCAACCGAGAUUCCCCCAGUAGCGGCGAGCGAACGGGGAGCAGCCCAGAGCCUGAAUCAGUGUGUGUGUUAGUGGAAGCGUCUGGAAAGGCGCGCGAUACAGGGUGACAGCCCCGUACACAAAAAUGCACAUGCUGUGAGCUCGAUGAGUAGGGCGGGACACGUGGUAUCCUGUCUGAAUAUGGGGGGACCAUCCUCCAAGGCUAAAUACUCCUGACUGACCGAUAGUGAACCAGUACCGUGAGGGAAAGGCGAAAAGAACCCCGGCGAGGGGAGUGAAAAAGAACCUGAAACCGUGUACGUACAAGCAGUGGGAGCACGCUUAGGCGUGUGACUGCGUACCUUUUGUAUAAUGGGUCAGCGACUUAUAUUCUGUAGCAAGGUUAACCGAAUAGGGGAGCCGAAGGGAAACCGAGUCUUAACUGGGCGUUAAGUUGCAGGGUAUAGACCCGAAACCCGGUGAUCUAGCCAUGGGCAGGUUGAAGGUUGGGUAACACUAACUGGAGGACCGAACCGACUAAUGUUGAAAAAUUAGCGGAUGACUUGUGGCUGGGGGUGAAAGGCCAAUCAAACCGGGAGAUAGCUGGUUCUCCCCGAAAGCUAUUUAGGUAGCGCCUCGUGAAUUCAUCUCCGGGGGUAGAGCACUGUUUCGGCAAGGGGGUCAUCCCGACUUACCAACCCGAUGCAAACUGCGAAUACCGGAGAAUGUUAUCACGGGAGACACACGGCGGGUGCUAACGUCCGUCGUGAAGAGGGAAACAACCCAGACCGCCAGCUAAGGUCCCAAAGUCAUGGUUAAGUGGGAAACGAUGUGGGAAGGCCCAGACAGCCAGGAUGUUGGCUUAGAAGCAGCCAUCAUUUAAAGAAAGCGUAAUAGCUCACUGGUCGAGUCGGCCUGCGCGGAAGAUGUAACGGGGCUAAACCAUGCACCGAAGCUGCGGCAGCGACACUAUGUGUUGUUGGGUAGGGGAGCGUUCUGUAAGCCUGUGAAGGUGUGCUGUGAGGCAUGCUGGAGGUAUCAGAAGUGCGAAUGCUGACAUAAGUAACGAUAAAGCGGGUGAAAAGCCCGCUCGCCGGAAGACCAAGGGUUCCUGUCCAACGUUAAUCGGGGCAGGGUGAGUCGACCCCUAAGGCGAGGCCGAAAGGCGUAGUCGAUGGGAAACAGGUUAAUAUUCCUGUACUUGGUGUUACUGCGAAGGGGGGACGGAGAAGGCUAUGUUGGCCGGGCGACGGUUGUCCCGGUUUAAGCGUGUAGGCUGGUUUUCCAGGCAAAUCCGGAAAAUCAAGGCUGAGGCGUGAUGACGAGGCACUACGGUGCUGAAGCAACAAAUGCCCUGCUUCCAGGAAAAGCCUCUAAGCAUCAGGUAACAUCAAAUCGUACCCCAAACCGACACAGGUGGUCAGGUAGAGAAUACCAAGGCGCUUGAGAGAACUCGGGUGAAGGAACUAGGCAAAAUGGUGCCGUAACUUCGGGAGAAGGCACGCUGAUAUGUAGGUGAAGCGACUUGCUCGUGGAGCUGAAAUCAGUCGAAGAUACCAGCUGGCUGCAACUGUUUAUUAAAAACACAGCACUGUGCAAACACGAAAGUGGACGUAUACGGUGUGACGCCUGCCCGGUGCCGGAAGGUUAAUUGAUGGGGUCAGCGCAAGCGAAGCUCUUGAUCGAAGCCCCGGUAAACGGCGGCCGUAACUAUAACGGUCCUAAGGUAGCGAAAUUCCUUGUCGGGUAAGUUCCGACCUGCACGAAUGGCGUAAUGAUGGCCAGGCUGUCUCCACCCGAGACUCAGUGAAAUUGAACUCGCUGUGAAGAUGCAGUGUACCCGCGGCAAGACGGAAAGACCCCGUGAACCUUUACUAUAGCUUGACACUGAACAUUGAGCCUUGAUGUGUAGGAUAGGUGGGAGGCUUUGAAGUGUGGACGCCAGUCUGCAUGGAGCCGACCUUGAAAUACCACCCUUUAAUGUUUGAUGUUCUAACGUUGACCCGUAAUCCGGGUUGCGGACAGUGUCUGGUGGGUAGUUUGACUGGGGCGGUCUCCUCCUAAAGAGUAACGGAGGAGCACGAAGGUUGGCUAAUCCUGGUCGGACAUCAGGAGGUUAGUGCAAUGGCAUAAGCCAGCUUGACUGCGAGCGUGACGGCGCGAGCAGGUGCGAAAGCAGGUCAUAGUGAUCCGGUGGUUCUGAAUGGAAGGGCCAUCGCUCAACGGAUAAAAGGUACUCCGGGGAUAACAGGCUGAUACCGCCCAAGAGUUCAUAUCGACGGCGGUGUUUGGCACCUCGAUGUCGGCUCAUCACAUCCUGGGGCUGAAGUAGGUCCCAAGGGUAUGGCUGUUCGCCAUUUAAAGUGGUACGCGAGCUGGGUUUAGAACGUCGUGAGACAGUUCGGUCCCUAUCUGCCGUGGGCGCUGGAGAACUGAGGGGGGCUGCUCCUAGUACGAGAGGACCGGAGUGGACGCAUCACUGGUGUUCGGGUUGUCAUGCCAAUGGCACUGCCCGGUAGCUAAAUGCGGAAGAGAUAAGUGCUGAAAGCAUCUAAGCACGAAACUUGCCCCGAGAUGAGUUCUCCCUGACUCCUUGAGAGUCCUGAAGGAACGUUGAAGACGACGACGUUGAUAGGCCGGGUGUGUAAGCGCAGCGAUGCGUUGAGCUAACCGGUACUAAUGAACCGUGAGGCUUAACCUU
rnacentral:rRNA from 1 species